GGAUAACAACUUCCGCUCGGGAAGUUUGUAAAAGUCUGGGCUACCGGCGCGGCGUAGUGGAUGCAGCAUCCUAGUGGAGGACGCCCCUGUGAUGGAGUCUCACUCUGUUGCCCAGGCUGGAGUACAGUGGCGUGAUCUCGGCUCACUGCAAGCUCUGCCUCCCGGGUACCUCAGAACCCAGGCCAGAUCCACACAAGGCUCUCGGUCAGUCCCAGAUGGAAGCUCCAGUCCCAGGCCGUGACAUGCAUCAGCUCCCACACCCAGGAUUGUCCCAGAGAAAGCGCUCUGCCCUCCCCGUCCACAGCACCACGAGGGCCAUAACUGCACUGCCACACCUCUCCAG
rnacentral:lncRNA from 10 species